UGAUGCAACACUGUGGGGCUGAAAUAACAGAUUUUAUUCUUCCACAAAGAAAAAGAAACAACAUAAACAUGUCCCUCUUUUGCUAUUCAAGAGACAUGUCCAUCUCGUCAUCCUCUAUGUCCUCACUCGCCACGGACAGACAGAAGCAAUGGAACCUUUACGGAAAUAGUUCCUGUGAAUGAAACCGUUCUGGAGCGGUUCGGUUCUGUUGAGAAUCGGAUCAGCUGUUCUCUGUCACGUGACUGGCGGUCAGCCGUGGCCGCGCGGCGGCAGACUUGGCGGGUUUCUUACCGACCUGCUUUGGGUAAGAGGACCGGCGGGCGGAGCUCGCUCAGCCGCUCCACCUGCUCCCGCAGCUGCAGGAUCUCCCGCCGGGAGCGGACCACCUCCUCCCGGUACUCCGCGACCGUCCUCUCCACGAGCCCGAAGAUCUCCUCCGCCGCCGCUGCGAGCCGCUCGCGGACCAGCAGCCGGAGCCGUUGUUCCCCCAGCAUGACGGACGGGCAGCCCGGGAACCGGAGACGGAGCGGGAGGGGGGACACCGACCGGGAUUUAUCAAGAAGCGACGGCGAGAGACGAGGAGUUCCUCCGUUCAAUGGUUUACACUGAAACUAAAGAAAUCUCUUCGCUUUGGCGCCCCCUGCUGCCGCGGAGGACCGCUUCUGCCACUGUUAAAGUAGAAGAAAUUCUAACUUAAACAUUAGUUUUAAUCCGUUGAAAACACAUAAGAACCACAAAACAUAAAUAAAUAAAUACAUACAAACCUG